UCAUACCAGUCAGUUCACAGUGCCCAAUAAACUCUCAAUUCUGCCUCAUUUAUAUUGUUGAGUGAGGUAGCCCUAUGAUCUUCUAACAUUAAACUACAACAUCCCAUGAAUAAGGGACAAUCUGUGCACGAAGAAUUAGCAGUCGAGUAGAGAAGUAAUUAAACGUUGCAGAUUGGGGUGAUGAAAGUGUAACAGUCUGAAUGGGGUUGGGAAAGGGCAUGGAAAUGUUUUGAUGGAACUACUCUUUAAUCAUCUAGGAGCUGAUGAUAUGAUGGUGGGGUGCCCAGGAUCCAAGACCUUCAUCUUAGAGCCAAGACUGUGUAGGUCAAGGAAACAACAGUUAAGCUGCUGACACAACCAAGAAGUAAUAAGGGCUUCUGCCUAAAUCGAUCAUAUUAAUGCUUCUUAAUUAGCCGGGUAUCAGGUUAUAACUCAUUUUUAUGGGAACCACACAGAAACGACAAGUUGAUUUAGACAUUAUUAUCCCAACAAGGGGAAGAUUUGCCUUCGGCAGGGCUGCCCCAAGACAUUUUGGCACCUGAGGCAAACCCACAAAAUGGCCACCUACACUGGGUGGGUGCUGAGCCCAGGAGACCCCAGAGGGCAGCCCCUGCCAUUUUCUCCCUAGGGACAGAGGGAGACCAGGAACACUCCCAGUUUGCCAAGAGGUUGCCAUAGAGGCAGAAUUAGAAGGGGCUGCCAAGGAGGCAGCAGUUCCAGCCUACAAUGAGUAUAGCAGCAGCAGGCAAGGCCAGAUCUGCUGCCCUGUGGUUCCUGCUACUUGAGGUGGUUACUUCAUGGGUGGGCCGACUCUGGCCUUUGGUAUAUUGCAUUUGUUUCUGAGCAUGUUCACAGUUAUUUCGGUGCACUCUUCCCACCUUGGAUCAAAUCUAUGCUUCCAGGUGCCAUAAGAAAGCUGCUGAGAUAGUGCAGGAUAGUGCGCACCCUGGAAAUGAUCUCUUUCAGCUUCUGCCUUCUGGAAGAAGGUACAGGGUUAUAAAGACUAGGACUAGCUGCCUGAGAAACAGUUUCUAUCCAAAUGCAAUUUUGGUUUUAAACACAGUGUAAGGAGUCUCUGUGGGAGUAUUUUGUAUUUAAUUAUGGGGUACCAGAGUUUUCAGGGGGUUAACCAAGCUGGGAUAGCAGGCUUGUUGGUUUUUGAAGGUCUGAUGUAGAUUUUUUCAGUUUUGUUGCUCUGUAUGGGACAAUGACAAUAAAGAUUAUCGUAUCGUAUCGUAUUUGGGGAUGCAUGGUCCUUCUCAGGCAUAGGCGCGGAGAAAGUAACAUGAUAACAUAGAUAUAGCAUAUCUUGUGUGAUUCAGAUUCAUUUCUGCUUUGGUGAAGCAUUUUUUAAAAGAUGUCACAGUUGCGGAAAUUGUUGCACAUAAGCAAGAAUGUUCAUAUGGGGAAUAACACAGUCAGAUGAAAACGUAUAGAUAGAUGUUGCUGCUUGGCAGUCACAUAGGCAUUUUAGCUCAGUUUUAGCUAAAUGUCCCCAUGGGACUGAUGGAAGUCAUGGCUUUUGUGGUAACUUAUAUUAUUAUAUAAUGAUGAUGAUGAUGAUGAUGAUUUCAGUUGGUAUUUGAUAGUCAGGGACAGGAUGGGAUUAGUAACUGUGAUGGGUUUUAUAAUUUUAACAUAUUAUUAUUAGGGAUAGAGGGACAUGUCUUUUUCACUUCUCUCUGUUUCUCAUUUUUCCAGUCUUAAAUCCAAUUCUUCACAUUUUGCAGCAAUUUUCAGAUCUUUUAUUUAACUGUACGAAAACAAUGCACCUUUUGCAUGCAGUUUUGACCGAUGUACACAUUUUGACCGAUGUACACAUUUUGGCAAGCAUUUUCCCCAAUGCAAUGUACUUUAGUUUGUUACUGUCACCAACAAAAUCAUUUUUAUUCACACUUAUAUGGAUUUUUAAAAACAUCGGUUGGGAAGCUGCAUAGCAAAAAUGGGAUAAGUUUGACUUUCCAAGGAUAGCUGUGUUUCAGUUCAUAUAUUGUAUCAGAAGGCAGAGCCUAGGUGAUCUGGCGCCCCUGGCUGAACCAUCCAGAUUGCGCCCCCUAGCCACUGACAAAUUAGCUCUUCUUUCCGCCUCUCCUCCACCCCCUUCAAUUCACCCUCUAUUUAAAACCUCUUCUUAUGAGGCAAUAAUCAAAAUAUUUAUUUAUGGAUAUAUUUGUAGCCGAUUUUGUGCCCCCCCCACUUGCCUGCGCUCCUGGCGGGGGCCCACCUCGCCACCCCUUAGCUCCAGCCCUGUCAGAAGGUGAAAAUUUGAUAGUUUCAGCUUCAAAUGAGACAUGAAUUGGAUUCCACUCCUUCCCUAAUUUUUAUUCAUCCACCCCCAAGUCCUUGGGAUGUGGGGGUGGGCUAAAAAGGAAACAAGCAGAAGAACCAGUGCACUACUUCAAAAUGCUCAAUGCACACAGAAAUUGCUUUGCAUUCUAUCAAGUCCUUUGCACUGUAACCAGAUCUGGUACAGAGUAGACUAAAUUUUCUCCAUGAAAUGUGUGUUAAAGAAACCACAUACCUUAGGGAAGAAGAAGUUCAUAAAUGCAGCCGUAGAAAGUGUUAGGAAUAAACAUUUUUUUAAAAAAGAAAGAAAGAAAUAAGUAUGUCAACAGUAGUUUGAUUUGAUUUGGAAUGAGAAAUCAUGCAGACUGUUAAGAAGCUAUGUUUUAUUUAAGCCAUGCCAAACAUUUGAGGACCACGAUAGCACACCUUGGCUGAUCAUUUAUUUAUUUUACUUAUUUCAGCACCAGCAUACAUAUGUUAAAACUCAAUGAUUAUACUUAAGCUCCAGGCAUGUUACCAGAUUUUCUUUUUAAAGUUUAAUCAAGCCACAGCAAGGAAAUAAAAUAAUUCCAAAACAAUUCUAAAAAAUGUCCUCGCUGUGGCAAGUGCUCCCCACCUGUCAGGAGUCAGUGUGAAAGACGCAAGGCUCUGUUGUCAGUGAAGUUAACUCUCUUUUAUUUGAGGAAAUGACAUACAACUCAGCAACACUUCCCAGCAGGUCUUGCCCCUACGGAGCAGUUGCCAGGACUGAAAGUCCUUGCCGUCCACUCUUUCUAAGGCUCCUCCUCUCCCAGAUGUUUCCCAAGCAGUCUCAAAUUGCAUCUGUGCACCUCUGGUUUCUGUUCUGCCCUCCUCGUUUUUCUGCAUGUUCUUGGAGACCAGGGUGGAGGGGAGAUUGUCACAGCAGGAGAGGGAGACUCCCUGGAUUUUUCAGCAGUCUCUUGACCCCUCUCCACUGCUUCAGCCUCAGAGUCUGAACUGCUCCCUGUCACUGGCUCUUCCUGCUCACUAAACUCUGUUGCCUCUUCAGCAUCUAGUCUUUCCUCCCAAGCCUCUCCCUCUGUCCUCUCCUUAGUGUCCCCUGGCUCUGAGCCUUCCUCCUCUGGGGUUCCCCUUGGGGGUUCACUGGCUGGUGCCUCCCACCACUCCUGGUGUCAGAGACCAGGCUGAGGAGUACUGCUCUGAUGAGGAAUGGUGGCAGCCUCCCCCUCCCCCUGCUCCUGACCAGGAUACUGAAGCUGCCCAGGAGCAGUGGAGCAGUAUAGAUUUGGAACAGAGGGGCAUACUUCUGAAGACAAAAGUUGGGAUGAACUUGGGUGGUGAACAGGAAAGUGAAGAAGAACUGGAAGAGAGAGAGAGCUAACAGACUCACUCUCGCUGUGAAGUGUCCAGCCUACCAGUACAAGGUCAGGUAGAGAAGAUUAGGUGGCUACACAAAAAGCACAGUGGUUGUGACAUCAGGUUGCAAGACGGAAGUAACUGGGGGGGAAGUGGGUGGAAACCUUAAUUGGGAACACCUUCAUUCCAAGAAUGGCUGCUUUGUUCUUUUGCUGUUAUCAUUAAAGACUCUUUAAAUGGU